GCAGCCGCGGUAAUUCCAGCUCCAAUAGCGUAUAUUAAAGUUGUUGCAGUUAAAAAGCUCGUAGUCGGAUUUUGGCAUCACGCCGUACUGUCUGCCGAUUGGUAUGCACGGUUUGGCGGGUGCUUCCUUCCGGAGGCUCGUUCCCUCCUUAACUGAAGGGUUCGUUGGUUCCGGUUCUUUUACUUUGAGAAAAUUAGGGUGUUCAAAGCAGGCCUAUGCUCUGAAUAGGUUAGCAUGGAAUAAUAGAAUAGGACUUUGGUUCUAUUUUGUUGGUUUCUAGGACCGAAGUAAUGAUUAAUAGGGACAGUUGGGGGCAUUCAUAUUCCAUUGUCAGAGGUGAAAUUCUUGGAUUAACGGAAGAUGAACUUCUGCGAAAGCAUCUGCCAAGGAUGUUUUCAUUGAUCAAGAACGAAAGUUAGGGGAUCGAAGACGAUCAGAUACCGUCGUAGUCUUAACCAUAAACUAUGCCGACUAGGGAUGUGGAGGUGUUAACUUUGUACGACCCUCCAUGCACCUUAUGAGAAAUCAAAGUCUAUGGGUUCCGGGGGGAGUAUGGUCGCAAGGCUGAAACUUAAAGGAAUUGACGGAAGGGCACCACCAGGAGUGGAGCCUGCGGCUUAAUUUGACUCAACACGGGAAAACUUACCAGGUCCAGACAUAGUUAGGAUUGACAGAUUGAGAGCUCUUUCUUGAUUCUAUGGGUGGUGGUGCAUGGGCCGUUCUUAGUUGGUGGAGUGAUUUGUCUGGUUAAUUCCGAUAACGAACGAGACCUUAACCUGCUAAAUAGUAGUCCGAUGAUUUCUUCAUCGUGUCGACUUCUUAGAGGGACUAUCGGUGUCUAACCGAUGGAAGUUUGAGGCAAUAACAGGUCUGUG
rnacentral:rRNA from 1 species